rfam:Otolemur garnettii contig093481, whole genome shotgun sequence.
GCCGGGCGUUGUGGACGCCUGUAGUCCCAGCUACUCAGGAGGCUGAGACAGGAAGAUUGCUUGAGUCCAGGAGUUCUGGGCUAUAGUGUGCUAUGCUGGUUGGAUGUCUGCACUAAGUUCAGCAUCAAUAUGGUGACUUCCCCAGAGCAGGGGGCCACCAGGUUGCCUAAGAAGGAGUGAACUGGCCAAGGUUGGAAAUGGAGCAGGCCAAAGCUCCUGUGCUGAUCAUAGUGGGAUGGCGCCUGUGAAUAGCCACUGCACUCCAGCCUGGGCAACAUAGUGAGACCCCGAUCCCAU